rnacentral:rRNA from 1 species
GUAACAAGGUCUUCGUUGGUGAACCAGCGGAGGGAUCAUUACUGAGUUUACGCUCUAUAACCCUUUGUGAACAUACCUAUAACUGUUGCUUCGGCGGGUAGGGUCUCCGCGACCCUCCCGGCCUCCCGCCUCCGGGCGGGUCGGCGCCCGCCGGAGGAUAACCAAACUCUGAUUUAACGACGUUUCUUCUGAGUGGUACAAGCAAAUAAUCAAAACUUUUAACAACGGAUCUCUUGGUUCUGGCAUCGAUGAAGAACGCAGCGAAAUGCGAUAAGUAAUGUGAAUUGCAGAAUUCAGUGAAUCAUCGAAUCUUUGAACGCACAUUGCGCCCGCCAGCAUUCUGGCGGGCAUGCCUGUUCGAGCGUCAUUUCAACCCUCAAGCUCUGCUUGGUGUUGGGGCCCUACAGCUGAUGUAGGCCCUCAAAGGUAGUGGCGGACCCUCCCGGAGCCUCCUUUGCGUAGUAACUUUACGUCUCGCACUGGGAUCCGGAGGGACUCUUGCCGUAAAACCCCCCAAUUUUCCAAAGGUUGACCUCGGAUCAGGUAGGAAUACCCGCUGAACUUAAGCAUAUC